rnacentral:lncRNA from 1 species
CAGUUUUCUCCCACAGUCUAUGGAUGGAGAAUCUGUUUUCACAGAGGUUCUUACUGCGGGUGAUAUGUAAGGAAGAAUUCACCAGUUCCUGAUUUCUAAAAGAUCCAAAGGGCCAGAGGGACACUGUCUUCCAUGGGAAAGGAAGCAUACAAAAGGAACAGAAACUUCUCUGCAAAGCAUCAGUACAAACCCACUGGCCUGGAAUGAUAUUUAUCCUCUUAAUUAUGUUUUGCAAAAGACUGAUAAUAAAAGCAAUUUUCUAAGGAAAGGCUAAGAAAGUGUUUCAGAAUAAAAAAAGACUAAAG